UUUUAUAAGAAAAAGAUGUGCACAGAGAUUUCUAUUUUGGAUGUUUAAGUGUGUGGAUGGAUGUCUAUUUUGAUCAUUUUAUUUAAAGGUAAAUUUGUAAUAAAAAUAAAAUUCAUUAAGUGUGUAGACAGAGACAAUGCGGUGUACGAAAAUAGAAUUUCCCCUCUCCGUCCAAAUUCUUAACACUGAGUGACAAAAACAGGACUUUCUUCUCUCUCUCCUCCGCCACUGUCGCAGGUCCUCCUUUGUCGCUGCUGCUUAUCCGUUGCUGCUCCGCCGCGAGAUCUAGAUCUGUAGCUUCUCUCUCUCUCUCUCUCUCUCUCCUCACCUCUGUUACCGCCGAAUCAUUACCGUUGUUCCUCUCGUCUUUCUCUAUCUCUUCUUUUUCACUUUCUCCUCACUCACUCACAUCUCAUAUCGAUUUCUCUCCACCUCCUACGUCAAUCUCUGUCGUCCUCCCUCUUCCUCAUCCUCAUCCUUCUUCUUCUUCGCCGCUGCCUCUCUCUCAUUGACAAUUGAAUAGCGCCAAUUUGCUUUCGGUACCGCUGCCAGAGCCAUCAGUCGUUCAUGGCGACCGACAGUUGAGGGCAGAUUGGGAAAAGAAGCUAACUUAUUGGUAGAUGAAUUUAUAUCAACACUGCAACAUUAUUGGUUGGGUUCUAAGCUCCUAUAGCAUGACGAGAGGAUCAGUUCAAGGUUGUUGCUUGAACUUGCUGGUGGGAAGAGUCUUACAGAUGAUAUUUUUAGACUAGUUUUAUUUGUUGUUUUUAUCAUUGUUCCAUUUGCUGAUUUGUUAAGAUUGGACCUCUCUCACUCCCCUCUCUCUAUGUAUAUCUGUGUAUGUAUGACAGAUAAUACCAUUCAGAUUUGUUCAAAAUGGCUCAGAUUUGUUUAAAAUGACACAAAUAUUUCAAUAAAUAGUGUUUUUAACGGACAGAUUAUA